UAUUCUUGAGAUAUGAUUCAUGAAAGAAAAGGGGAAAAAGGGAGAGAGUGAACAAACUUGCUUUGCUGAUAUUUAGGCUUCUUGCAAUGCUACCAAGGGUUAACUGCAGAGUUUCCUCAUCUUCCAUCUUGGAAACCACCAAUGCAAUCAAUGCUAUAGAGAUAGAUUGUUGAAAAGGUCCAGAAACUUGCAUUUUUUGUCCACAAAACAAACAGAUUGAUGCAUUAUAGGAAGGAAACCAUUCUCACUAGUUUCUAUGAGAUGAUGCUAUAGAGAUAGAUUGUUGAAAAGGUCCAGAAACUUGCAAUUUUUUGUCCACAAAACAAACAGAUUGAUGCAUUAAAGGAAGGAAAUUGCUCUCACUAUUUUCUAUGAGAUGACACUCCGGGAAAUAAUCUUGUUAAAGAUGUCUAAUUCAUCUCAUAGUAUUUAAAUCAUUCAAUACUACAAUAGUAUUCACUUCAUAUGAAGUGAACAUCUUAAUGAAUGGAGCUAUACAAAAAGGUACAUAGGUUGUAUACAAAGGGAAAAGAAAAGGUAUAGGUUGACAGAGAAAAU
rnacentral:lncRNA from 1 species